GUAGGUGAACCUGCGGAAGGAUCAUUCACAAAGUUAGGGGGGUGAGCGAAGUGCGAAGCGCGUAGCGCGUAGCACGAGUGAACCCGCCAAAAGGCAAGGGUGGAGUGCUAGGUGUGUGGAGGUAUGAGGAGAGUCUGUGGACGCCUUGUGCCUUCUGUCACCGACGCGCGAAGCGUGCGCCUAUACGAACACCCGCCAGGCUUAGGCCGAGCGGGUAGGGUGUCGAUGCCGAGAAAGAGGGGACAUGCGU
rnacentral:misc_RNA from 1 species